UCCGAUGAUUAUUCGAAAAUAUCAUGGCGUUUAAUUAUGACAUCGAGGAAGUUCCACCCCCUGACUCGCCGUGCGUGGAACAUGAUAUUCGGCGAGCUAAAAAAUUCCUCCAGAAGCACAGCCCGGAGUCAGGCGAUAGCCUGUAUGAUCACCUCAGCGAAGUCUUGAACAAGAUACUGAGCGAAAGGCCCAAGAAUGCUGUCGAUAUUUUUGAACAGUACAGUCGGCAGUUGAAGGAGGAACGUUUCAGAAACAAUACCGAUCAUAUUCGCGAUCUUUACGUACCUCCGACGCAGUACGAGGACGCGAAGAAGUUGAUCGAACUCUUUCAACACGCCCAGGAAUCUGAGGAUUUUUCAGAAGAAAAUCUCGAAGACGAACGAGACGACGGUUCAAAAAAAAAAAAACCAAACUUGCUGGAUCUCAUGUAUUAUUUCGAACAAACUGGAGUCGGUCUGCCCCGAAGCGAGAUGGUCAUCCUAAACUUAUCCAUUCGAAAACUUAUGGCUAGCAAGCCGAUAGAAAAUGUUCGAUUCUGGGGUAAAAUAUUAGGAAGACCAAACAAUUAUUACGUUGUUGAGGCAGAUCUCCAAGAAAACGAACUGAAUCGUCGGUUAGAGGAAGGAGAAACGGUUGCAGAUCAAACAAUGCAGGAAAUGGAAGCGUCUGAGUCGGAAAACGAAGAAAUGAACGCGGAAAAAAUCGGUGGCGAAAACGCGGCGGGGGAAGAGCGUUCCGGAAACGCAGCUGAGGAAAAUAAUUUAGCUCUGAAUUUUCCGCCUCUGCCACAGACGAACUGGAAACCAGCGGUGAAAAUUCCACCGGAAAGAAUUGGGACCGGUGUCAAUAAAAAAACGUACUUCGUGUGCGGAUCGCCGGGACUCGAUGACUGGGUCGAAUUGCCAACGGUCUUACCGCAGCAGAUUGUUUCAGCGCGAUUAUUGGUCCGAUAUUUCACAGGGAAUCUAGAGACGCCUAUUCAUACCUUCCCUCCGUUUCCUGGUACCGAAAAAAAUUAUCUGCGGGCGCAAAUCGCGCGGAUUACAGCGGCUACUUCGAUCUCACCGAUCGGGUGGUAUAACUUUGGCGAAGACGAGGAGGAAGAAGCUCUUGGCGAAGAGGAAGAAGAAAUUGGAGGAAUUAUGCACGAAAAUCCUCAUUACGAUCCUCUCCCGAUAAAAGACCUCGUUGAUCAGUCCAUGACUAACUGGUGCCACCACGAGCAACAUAUUCUGGAACAAGGCCGGACUACCUGGUGGAACCCAAAAGCCGAAGGAGAUGAAGAUGAAUUUGCCGAGGAAGAAGAAGACAUGCAAGAAGAAGAAGAAGAAGAGACAGGCGGUGUUUCCAAAAUAAGUAGGGAAGUUGGUCCUCCGUUAUUGACCGCACUUUCUGAGGACGCGUCUUUGGAUUCAAUUCCGGCAUGGACAGCUAGACAGUCAUCGUUGAUUCAACCGGAUACCGCAGUCGCUUAUAUCCGUUCGAAUAUUUGGCCUGGUGCUUUCGCCUUCGCCACAGAGAGGAAAUUCGCCAACGUGUACAUCGGCUCGGGUCACAAGUUUACCGCAUUUAAUUACACCCCUCCUAAUAUGCCAGUUGUUCAAGACGAGUAUAAAAUUGGUCCAGAAGUGAUGGAAGUUCAGGAUCCAAGCGUAGAAGAGGAAGAAUCGUGGCGUACUUCGCACUUACCAGUUCCACAGCUUGCGUCAAUGGGCGAAGAAGAGGAUGAACUUGAGGAACAAUCCCCGAGCGAUGAAGAGGAAGAUGACGAUGAAGAUUAGGCAGAGUUUUCAUCAAAUCGAUUAAUUCAAGACAUAUAUUUCAACGUUCAAAAAGCGUCCAGACGCUUUUCGCAAAAAAACGCCAUUGCGAUUCGGUAUUUGGUCGUCAGAGCGUCUCGUACGUAGAUCCUUCUUUUCCGAAGCAACGGCAGUAUGGCCGUAGCAGCCGGAGCGUCGUCACGCGUCGUCAGGAGCGACGUCGAUGGUAGCGCGUACAUCCUUGGAGAAGAAAAAAAAGAUGGCAGAGAGGUGGGAGAAAGGAAAAUAAAUACAUUGCGGCCUUCAAUCAGUCACCACGGUGGCCAGUUCAUCGCAGUACUCAUUCAACGUCCAACCACGACGGGCAGGAGUUAUACAUGGCAUCGCACAAUUCGUUCACAGGUAUCCAAAGAUGCUGCCGCCGUAGCUGCUGUUUGACCGGACUCCCCCUGUUCAUCAGGGGGAGUCCACCGUCCCCUGGGACUGCGCGGCCUCCCACCGCCCCCGGGGUCCCAGGGGACCCGGUCCCCGAGGACAUGUCUUCGGGGAUGCGGUAUCCC